rnacentral:tRNA from 1 species
GGGAUUGUGGCUCAGUGGUAGAGUACUCUCGCCUGGCACGUGCAGAACCCUGGGUUUGAUCCUCAGCAACACA